GUGCCAGCAGCCCGGUAAUACGUAGGGUGCGAGCGUUGUCCGGAAUUACUGGGCGUAAAGGGCUCGUAGGUGGUUUGUCGCGUCGUCUGUGAAAUUCCGGGGCUUAACUCCGGGCGUGCAGGCGAUACGGGCAUAACUUGAGUACUGUAGGGGUAACUGGAAUUCCUGGUGUAGCGGUGAAAUGCGCAGAUAUGCCAGGAGGAACACCGAUGGCGAAGGCAGGUUACUGGGCAGUUACUGACGCUGAGGAGCGAAAGCAU
rnacentral:rRNA from 1 species